CGAAUAAUGAAAUGAAUAAAUCAAUUGAUAUGUGAAGAAAAAUGAGCGAGUAAAAGAAUGAAUGAAUAAGAAAAUAAGUGAACGAAUGAAUAAAUAAGUGAAUUACUAAAUGAAGGAAUGUAAAUUAAUUAAUUAAUGAAAAUGUAAGUGAUUUGGAUUAUAUUACUGAGUGAGUAAAUGAAACAAACUAUUUCCCUUUGCCUCGUAUGUACUUGACUAAUUGCACAAUUUAUUUAAAAUACAAAUAAGACCAUAUUAACUAAAUUUUUGCUGCAUUGAUUAUUAGGAGGUCUCAAUUAAUAUUUCAAAUGAUAAUAACAAGAACGUUAUCAUUUUAUAGUAACAAAAAUAAUUUUUUACUUACAACAAAAUAUUACAAUAUGCGUACCAAUUUUUUAAAAUUGCCUGCAUUACCAAAUGCUUUAAUCUUUGGCAGUAUUUUUUUCCUGACUGGAAUAGACUGCAUUUGGUACUCUAUAGUUAAAAUAAUACCAGAUAGGUGGAGCUAAAAGUAGAGUAAAUAUUUCGCCAUUUCACUUUGCCCCGCUGUUUUACUUUACCCCAUGUUCCUCUACAAUAAAACUAACUGGAACUCCAACUAUCCGAAUCAAUUGGGACCGAACCCUAUUUGAAUAAUUGGAUAUUUCCCUAAAAAAGGCCUUAAAAAUCUUGCAUGUAUGUUGGAAAUAGGAGAAAAAAACUUUCGAAAUCGCAACUAAAUGAAAAUACGAUUCGCCUGGCGACAGACGGCAGCCAAUAGUAAGGCUGCACUGUGAGGUGGUGACUUAUCAUCUCAAUAGUAUUCGUGAUGGGCUUUGUAGAAGGUGCAUUGACAGAAUCAUUAUUUUGCAAAUCGCAAUGUGAUUCCGGUUCUCCCCCUCCCUCAAAUUUCAAGAGCAAUUCAGAUAAUCAACGACUCGGAUAGUUCGAGUUCGGAUAAUUGCAGUUCGAUUAUAAUGUAGAGGGAUAGAUAAUAAAUUUAUACUAUUUUAUCAAAUGCUCUAGUGGCCGGUGUUUAUUCCCCUAAAAACUCAUUUGUCUUUUUUUGGACUUCCUGUCUGGUAGUAUCCUGCCCAUAUUUUCGCUUUAGGGCUGUCCACAAAUGAUGUCGCACUUUGAGGGGGAAGGUAGUUCGUGAGUUCUAAUUUGGACCUUUGAGGGGUAAGGUUUGUAACGAGAGGGGGAGGGUGUGACAAGAAGUGUCACAUCCCGCAUUUUUUUAAUACGGAUAUCCUUAUAAAUAGCACAUGUGACAGAGAGGGAAGGGGGUAAGAUGAAGUGUGACACUUUGGGACAGGGAGGGGGAAUGUUUUUAAAAGGUAUGACAUCAUCAGACAGCCCCUAUGCCGGAAUGUUUUUCUGCUUGAAUCUGAAAGAAAAGCACAUGGGAUGGGGGGGAUGCAUUUGUGAGACGUCGAGUUUUCUUCAAUCGGCUCCGUGUGUGUGUCUGUGUGUGCGGCUCGUCGCAAAAGACGCAUAGUUAGUGAGUUGUGGCGUGCCAACUGCCUUUCUAUUCUGGUGUCUUAGAACGAGGGAACGCGGCUUUUGUUUCCGGGACAACACACUCGCUUUUUUCUCUCUCUCUCUUUCUCUCUCCCCUCCUUCGCGGCAUUGUGCGUGGAACUCGCGGUCGACCCGCAUCGAUCCGUAAUAACUGUCGAGGAUUUCACCUCCACAUUCGAUGUCCACGCGAUGUCUGGGAUGGAUCCACCCCCGCUCGCCACUUCUUCAGAGCAGCUUACGUGUCGUUCGGGGGGAUGUUGAUGCGACUCCAAGGUGACCCAAACAACUUGCACGGGUUUGAAGUCGAUAAUCACGUCUAUUUGCUCUUAAAGAAACUGGCUUUCUAAGAAUGCUGUGUAUUCGCCACAAUCUCAUCUCAUAAUAUUCAUGUACAUUAAAAAUUCAUUUUCAUAAAAAUAAAACAUUUUUGUAUUCUUUA